UGGCUCAGUUCAGCAGGA
rnacentral:ncRNA from 2 species